AGUGAACGCUGGCAGUAGGCCUAACACAUGCAAGUCGAACGGCAGCACAGUAAGAGCUUGCUCUUACGGGUGGCGAGUGGCGGACGGGUGAGGAAUACAUCGGAAUCUACUUUUUCGUGGGGGAUAACGUAGGGAAACUUACGCUAAUACCGCAUACGACCUACGGGUGAAAGCAGGGGAUCUUCGGACCUUGCGCGAUUGAAUGAGCCGAUGUCGGAUUAGCUAGUUGGCGGGGUAAAGGCCCACCAAGGCGACGAUCCGUAGCUGGUCUGAGAGGACGAUCAGCCACACUGGAACUGAGACACGGUCCAGACUCCUACGGGAGGCAGCAGUGGGGAAUAUUGGACAAUGGGCGCAAGCCUGAUCCAGCCAUACCGCGUGGGUGAAGAAGGCCUUCGGGUUGUAAAGCCCUUUUGUUGGGAAAGAAAAGCAGCAGGUUAAUACCCCGCUGUUCUGACGGUACCCAAAGAAUAAGCACCGGCUAACUUCGUG
rnacentral:rRNA from 1 species